rnacentral:rRNA from 1 species
UACGUAGGGAGCAAGCGUUGUCCGGAAUCAUUGGGCGUAAAGCGCGCGUAGGUGGCUUCGUAAGUCCGUUGUGAAAGUCAAAGGCUCAACCUUUGAAAGCCGAUGGAUACUGUGGAGCUAGAGUACGGAAGAGGCGAGUGGAAUUCCUGGUGUAGCGGUGGAAUGCGCAGAUAUCAGGAGGAACACCAACAGCGAAGGCAGCUCGCUGGGACGUUACUGACACUGAGGCGCGAAAGCGUGGGGAGCGAACAGG